GUCCCUGACACGGGGUGCCGAGCACCGAUGCCGGCUGAGACCAGACCCGUUGAACCUGCCCGGUUAGUACCGGCGAAGGGAUGUCCGAUCCAUGGCAU
rnacentral:ncRNA from 2 species